rnacentral:rRNA from 1 species
CCCUUAGACGUUCUGGGCCGCACGCGCGCUACACUGACCAGUGCAACAAGCAUCCGUCCUUGGCCGACAGGCUCGGGCAAUCUUUGAACGCUGGUCGUGAUGGGGAUAGACUUUUGCAAUUUUUGGUCUUCAACGAGGAAUUCCUAGUAAACGCAAGUCAUCAACUUGCAUUGAUUACGUCCCUGCCCUUUGUACACACCGCCCGUCGCACCUACCGAUUGAAUGGUCCGGUUAAGCCUCCGGAUUGGCGCGCACCUCGGUGCCGCCGAGAAGUUGGCUAAACCUUACCAUUUAGAGGAAGGUGAAGUCGUAACA